GUGGUGUUUGCUGUCCCAUGAUCAUACCAAAUGGAAGUGGGCUCCUACUCAAAGCACACUUAACUAAUGGUAGUGCUGCUGAUGCUGCCUAAAGCAGCUGUGCUGUUCCUAAGAUCAGAACUGUCAUCGCAGAAAUGAUGGAUGGCAUUUAAUGAGCAAAUGCCAAGGAAGUCGUGAGCAAGAAACAUAAAGUUCUCAUGGAAAUGAUGACAUCAGCAUUGCCUGCUGCGGAAGAAUGGAGCAUUCCUCAACUCAUAGAAUCACAGAACAGCCAAAGGACCAUCUGGCACCCUGUCCAGUCACAUCUUGAAAACCUCCAGCGGUGGGGAUUCCACCACAUCCUUGGGAAAGUUGCUCCAGUCAUUGACUGUUUUCACUCUGAAAAAUGUUGUUCUGAUAUCAAGGUGAAGUCUCUCCUGGUGCAUCUUCAAUCCAUUGCCUCUUGUCUUCUCUGUGCUGCUCACUGUGAAGACACAUACCCUGUCCUUUUUGUAGCAACAAGCGCUGAGUAGUGUGGGAUGAUCACAUCUCUAUCUCUGCUGAUUAAGUUCCCAUAGAUGCAGCC
rnacentral:lncRNA from 1 species